GUGUGAACAACGAAAAUAGAUACUCGUUUUUAUAGCGAGCAUUGGAGGCUACAUACGAGCCCGCAAAAUCGUUCUCACAAUGCACAAGCCAGAUCGAUAUUUAGCCUGUGGGCAAUUCGAAGCAGUCCAAACGUUGCCAAACCACUGCUAUACUCGAACAGUAACAGGUUUUUUCCACACCAGUCCUAGGUCAUUUAGCUUUGGGCCGCCGCAGCGGAGACCUGACCUGCUCACACAACUGGGCUACCGGUAAAUCUUGACCGAGAGAAAUACAGAGAGAAAUCAGGAAAGAAUUCGUAUUCGAAUGCAGCGUAGCUUAUUUCGUUUUCUUACCAGCUGCCGCCACCAUCGCUGCCCUGUUCGAUUCAGCAAGCCGAGAGUGAUGGCUUCAUUUUGCCAGUUUGCCGGUAAGGAAUAGAGAAGCUGAUUAUUCAAAACACGACAGGAGGUGCUGAUGCUCACGGGGUCGAGAAGGUUGUACGUCGUUGUUGCAGACUGUUUUCGCUUGUGCCAAAUACAUUACAAAUGUUAACGGAACAUUCCUGCCCGCUUAACAACAGUUCCUUUGCAACAAUAGUGGAGAUAUUGAGACUUCUAUUCACAACAAACCUUCUCAAAAUGCUUAUUAGCAUUAUAUUUAAAGCGUUUAUUUGUACAUAACACACUCGCUAUACCCGUAAGGUCUAGAAGAUGAAUAGUCUUAUAAUGGUAAAGAAGAAGUACGGUUAUUGCACACAUAGUGUAUCCAUGUAUCUGGCUGCUACUGCAUCGGACUUCAUUGAAACGCGUCCACCAAAGUUGCUCCAAGGUUUCUGGAUUCAUGGGCUCACUUUGUACGGCCAAAACGAACCAAAUUUUUCCCGCUAAUUCGGAGACGUAACAGAACAGCGAUAAAUCAAUAGAAGAAACCAAAUCCGCUGUCUUCGUCACAAAUCUAAAAAGCAUUGUGUUUUUACCGGAUUUGAUUUCUCUAUUUCGGCACAUAUACAGCUGGCAAUUGUCUAAAAUCUAGUUUGCACUUUUCAACAUACUGAUUAUUUUCGUCACGCAGUAAAAAAAUCCGCUCCUACUGCUUAAACUACUUAAAUUCAAUACCUGGCAUUCGAUUAAAUCAAGGCCCCUAGUAAAUUAUUGCUAUAUUAAUGUAAUUUAAUACUCCGUUUGGUUAAGGGCUUAUUCGAAAUCGUCGGCCAUUGUCAUUAGUCCAUUGACUGUACUCACUGUGUCGUAACGGUACUUUUUGAGUAGCUUCUUGAACGGUAGCUUUAUACAAUGCUAUUCAUCAUACCAAAGCCUCAUGGCCGUGGCACUUGCUUGCCUGAGAAGCCACUGGCACCGAGAGCUCCCCUCCUUCCCGCAUACGCAUAGAUAUUCUUGCCCGUUCAGGAAGACGUCUCUCAUUUCAGACUUCCUGUUUAGGUACGUCCUUGCCAAGCUCUGCGUAUAAUCUUCAUGUUGGGUUACCUUAUGCUGGUAUUCAUUGUCUAUUCGUGCACAGUCGAAAAAUAGAAAGGCAUUACUAACUGUUAGCCAACGUUCGAUUCGAACUCGACGGGUUCCGGCACCAAAAGAAACACCAAAAAUAACAUUUGAUGAGUGAAGUAGAAUGCCACGACCGACUAUCGCCAUUGUCCCUGUCGCAGGCGUUAGCAUAGUUGAACAGAGGCGAGUAGGUAUUGCUCCCUUUCUGCGACUAUUUUGCUUGAUACCAUUUACCCUGUCCGCGACUGCAGUUCAAUUCUGCUUGCCAAAAUUAAUCGGGAAUUGUUCGCGCACGCGAGAGAUAACUACCGGAGACGAAGUUCUCCGACAAGAAAAUCUCAUCGGGAAAUGGGCGUUGCCAUUGGCAGCAGCUGGUGGCAGGAACGCAGUCCGUGGGAUUAACUGAUCAGUUUCUGUCAACAUCGUUCAAUCACGUUCGCGACAAUAACAACCCGAGUUGAGUCAUUAUAGAAAAACCAUGGCCAUCAAAUAGUACUACUACCAGUGUCACUUGAAGAAAACAAAGGCCUUACUGAUAUCUCAACUUGGCCACAUUUUCAAAGUCAGGAUUCAUCUUGCUUGGUAGGUACUGCAAGCACGAAGAUGGAGCUUUAAACCAGGAAGGCGGUGCAAAAAAUGCAGCCAGUGAUCGUACCUGUAAAAGAGCACUCACUCUUUACCUCAACAACAACUCGAGCGCUUUUGUGCUGAAAGAUGUCGAAAGUGUCUCGUAACGACAAACAGCUACGUGACGCGCCACGCGCACGCCAGAGGACUUUGCCUCGAUAAUGUUAUAGCAGAAAUAUAAGAAGGCGUGACGAUUAUGAAGAUACUGUUUGCGCCUAUCGGUGGCCAUUCAUUGACCUAACUAGCAAGGUCGUCUGGGGAGUGUCAAGCAUUCGUUAUCGACUUCUAAGAGGCCGCGCGUACCAAUCGGAUACGUGACAAUGGAAUUUUCUCGCGUCGUUCUUGGUUAACACGUUUUAUCGUAAGUUACUGUUCUCAAGUCAUAAUAUGGCCCGGGAAAUUACCCAAGUUGAUAAAAAAAAAGGUAUAUUAUCAAGAUAGGUUGCUCAAGAUACACGUUGUGUUGGGACUGGCCUUAAAUAGGCCUACGAAACGAAGUCGUAAACAAGCAAAUCCGCAAAUCUGCUAAAUAAAUGCAGUAAAACU
rnacentral:lncRNA from 1 species